GUCCAUGGUCAUACCACCCUGAAUGUAUUCCACCUCAUCUGAUCUCAGAAGCUAAGCAGGGUCGGCCUGGUUAGUACUUGGUUGGGAGACAUUCUGUCUGUCUUUCCCAUACAUG
rnacentral:rRNA from 1 species